rnacentral:siRNA from 1 species
CCCCAGGUCGAGUGCCUUCACC